rnacentral:rRNA from 1 species
AACGAACGCUGGCGGCAUGCCUAACACAUGCAAGUCGAACGAGACCUUCGGGUCUAGUGGCGCACGGGUGCGUAACGCGUGGGAACCUGCCCUUAGGUUCGGAAUAACUCCCCGAAAGGGGUGCUAAUACCGGAUAAUGUCUUCGGACCAAAGAUUUAUCGCCUUUGGAUGGGCCCGCGUUGGAUUAGCUAGUUGGUGGGGUAAAAGCCUACCAAGGCGACGAUCCAUAGCUGGUCUGAGAGGAUGAUCAGCCACACUGGGACUGAGACACGGCCCAGACUCCUACGGGAGGCAGCAGUGGGGAAUAUUGGACAAUGGGCGAAAGCCUGAUCCAGCAAUGCCGCGUGAGUGAUGAAGGCCGUAGGGUUGUAAAGCUCUUUUACACGGGAUGAUAAUGACAGUACCGGGAGAAUAAGCUCCGGCUAACUCCGUG